GGCUGGUCCGAUGGUAGUGGGUUAUCAGAACUUAUUAACAUUUGUGUCACUAAAGUUGGUAUUCAACCCCCCACUGCUAAAUUUGACUGGCUAAAA
rnacentral:Y_RNA from 1 species